rnacentral:rRNA from 1 species
CCUACGGGAGACAGCAGUGGGGGAUAUUGGACAAUGGGGGGAACCCUGAUCCAGCGACGCCGCGUGAGUGAAGAAGUAUCUCGGUAUGUAAAGCUCUAUCAGCAGGGAAGAAGAAAUGACGGUACCUGAGUAAGAAGCCCCGGCUAACUACGUGCCAGCAGCCGCGGUAAUACGUAGGGGGCAAGCGUUAUCCGGAAUUACUGGGGGUAAAGGGAGCGUAGACGGUGAUGUAAGUCUGGAGUGAAAGGCGGGGGCCCAACCCCCGGACUGCUCUGGAAACUAUGUGACUGGAGUGCAGGAGAGGUGAGCGGAAUUCCUAGUGUAGCGGUGAAAUGCGUAGAUAUUAGGAGGAACACCAGUGGCGAAGGCGGAUGACUGGACGGCAACUGACGGUGAGGCGCGAAAGCGUGGGGAGCAAACAGGAUUAGAUACCCUUGUAGUC